GAUGAAGAACGUAGCGAAAUGCGAUAAGUAAUGUGAAUUGCAGAAUUCAGUGAAUCAUCGAAUCUUUGAACGCACCUUGCGCCCUUUGGCUAUUCCGAAGGGCAUGCCUGUUUGAGUAUCAUGAACACCUCAACUCUCAUGGCUUGCCGUGAUGAGCUUGGACUUUUGGGGGUCUUGCUGGCCUGUGGUCAGCUCCUCUCAAAUGAAUUAGCCUGCCAGUGUUUGGUGGCAUCACAGGUGUGAUAACUAUCUACGCUUGUGGUUUUCCACCAGGUAACCUUCAGUGAUGAAGGUUCGCUGGGGCUCAUAAACGUCUCUCCUCAGUGAGGACAGCUCUUUGAACGUUUGAUCUCAAAUCAGGUAGGACUACCCGCUGAACUUAAGCAUAUCAAUAAGCGGAGGA
rnacentral:misc_RNA from 1 species